UACAGAGGGUGCGAGCGUUAAUCGGAAUUACUGGGCGUAAAGGGUGCGUAGGUGGUUUCUUAAGUCAGACGUGAAAUCCCCGGGCUUAACCUGGGAACUGCGUUUGAUACUGGGGAACUAGAGUAUGGUAGAGGGAAGUGGAAUUUCCGGUGUAGCGGUGAAAUGCGUAGAUAUCGGAAGGAACAUCAGUGGCGAAGGCGACUUCCUGGACUAAUACUGACACUGAGGCACGAAAGCGUGGGGAGCAAACAGG
rnacentral:rRNA from 1 species